GUCGAAGGUGGGACCGGCGAUUGGGACGAAGUCGUAACAAGGUAGCCGUACCGGAAGGUGCGGCUGGAUCACCUCCUUUCUAAGGAGCA
rnacentral:rRNA from 1 species